GCGCCCAUAGCUCAGCAGGAUAGAGCAUCGGUCUUCUAAACCGACGGUCGCAGGUUCGAAUCCUGCUGGGCGCGCUA
rnacentral:tRNA from 1 species